CCUACGGGCGGCAGCAGUGGGGAAUAUUGCACAAUGGGGGAAACCCUGAUGCAGCGACGCCGCGUGAGUGAAGAAGUAUUUCGGUAUGUAAAGCUCUAUCAGCAGGAACGAGACAAGACGGUACCUGACUAAGAAGCCCCGGCUAACUACGGGCCAGCAGCCGCGGUAAUACGUAGGGGGCAAGCGUUAUCCGGAACCACUGGGGGGAAAGGGAGCGUAGACGGCUGAGCAAGCCUGAAGUGAAAGGCGGGGGCCCAACCCCCGGACUGCUUUGGGAACUGUACGGCUGGAGUGCAGGAGAGGUAAGUGUAAUUCCUAGUGUAGCGGUGAAAUGCGUAGAUAUUAGGAGGAACACCAGUGGCGAAGGCGGCUUACUGUACUGUAACUGACGUUGAGGCUCGAAAGCGUGGGGAGCAAACAGGAUUAGAUACCCCGGUAGUC
rnacentral:rRNA from 1 species